rnacentral:lncRNA from 1 species
GACAUGAUGGCCAGCUCUACGGAGCUCAGCAGUACCAGUAUCCUACUCCGUAUUUCCAACCAUUGACGCCAACAAGUGGGCCUUACCCAAGCCCAGCUGCCCCUCCCAAAGGUGAGAUUUCGAGUAUUGGGUCUGCUGAUCAAGUGCCUUUGUCUGUUGAAACUCCCAAUGGAAAUUCUAAUGGCAUUGCAAAUGGUGGCGGCUUAAAGGGAAAUAAUGGUUCAGCACCACUGAAAACAAAUUAUCAGAACUCAUCUUAUGCGAAUGGUUCCUAUGGAAGGGGUGCCUUGCCUGGAGGAAUUUCUGGUUAUCAAGACCCAAGAUUCGGUUAUGAUGGUUCACGAUCUCCUAUACCAUGGAUAGAUGGCCCUUUAUAUUCUGAUGGGAAUCCUAGGUCGGUGACUAGCACUUCCAUUACAUCAUCAAUACCUACUGGGAAUGGUAUUCCAUCAUCAAGGAAUCAGAAUGUUCGCCCUCAUUCUCACCUCAUGGUAUGUUACAUUUUUAAAUAGCAUGCAGUGCAGGAAGAGUUGUUUUAAAUAAGUUGCUAAUGUGGUCAAUCCUUAAUAUAUUUAUACGUUGCACUCCUAAAUGUUCGCGGGAUCUUUUUAAAUACUUCUGAUGAUUUUUUAGAAUCUAUCUCACUUUAAUUGUCGUUCCAUAACAGGGUUUGCACAAUCCGAGGCCAAUGUCUGGCUUGAACACAGCUAAUGGGUAUAUAAAUAGGAUGUAUCCAAACAAGUUGUACAGUCAGUAUGGUAACACUUAUAGAUCUGGGUAUUAUGGAUCCAAUGGUUAUGAUCCCCGAACUGGUGGACGUGGGUGGUCGACUGUUGAUAGCAAGUUCAAGCCAAGGGGACGAGGCAAUGGUUUCUUGGGUUAUGGUAAUGAGAACACGGAUGGUUUGAAUGAACUGAAUAGGGGCCCAAGAGCAAAGAGCACCAAAAAUCGAAAGGGCUUCACACCUAUUGCAUUAGCUGUAAAGGGACAGAACAUUUCAUUGACAGGAACAAAUGAUUGUGAGGAAAAGCCUAGUGUGAAUCAUGACAGAGAGCAACACAACCGAGCUGAUUUCCCAGAGAAUUAUGCUGAUACUAAGUUCUUCGUUAUAAAGUCAUACAGUGAGGAUGAUGUUCACAAGAGUAUCAAGUACAACGUCUGGGCAAGCACGCAAAAUGGCAACAAGAAACUUGAUGCGGCAUACCAGGAAGCACAGCAGAAGUCUGGCGAUUGUCCUAUUUUUCUGUUCUUCUCGGUGAGCUUUGAAUUACAAACUUGUUUGAUUGCUGUUUGGUCUUUAAUUAUCUUUUGUUGUUAUUAGAAAUUUGCUUGGCUUUUGUCCAGGUCAAUACAAGUGGCCAGUUUGUUGGUGUCGCCGAGAUGUUAGGGCCAGUUGAUUUUAACAAGAGUCUUGAAUAUUGGCAACAAGAUAAGUGGGUUGGAUGUUUUCCCGUUAAGUGGCACAUUGUGAAGGAUGUGCCCAACAGUAUCUUGAAGCACAUCACUCUCGAGAACAAUGAGAACAAACCCGUCACUAAUAGCAGGGAUACUCAAGAGGUGUGUGUUGUUCUUACUGUUAUCGUUGCUCAUAUUUCUGUUGUCAUAUUUAUGUAGCAAAUUUACAUGGACGUAUAGGUCAAGUUGGAGCAGGGUCUUCAAUUGCUUAAAAUAUUCAAGGACCAUUCCAGCAAGCAAUGCAUCCUAGAUGAUUUUGAUUUCUAUGAGGAACGUCAGAAGAGGAUCCAGGAGAAAAAAGCCAAGCAACAGCAGUUUCAGAAGCAGGUGGAGUAUAUGUUCCUUGUGUAUUUUCCAUCUUUAUUAUUAUUUUCACGGUUGUCUUGAUAAUCUUUUGUCUAGGUUAUCUUGAUAAUCUUUUGACUUGGAUGUGAGGGCAAUUUGUAGUUUGACCUUGGUUUCUUUCUUCUGCUUUUCGUAAAUUCAGGUGUGGGAAGGAAAGCCUAAUGACGAGAAAAACAAAGAAGGCUCAAAUGUUGAACCAAUUACCCAGAAGUCGGCAGAUGCUGCCUCAGAUUUGAUCAAGGAUCUUACUCCAGCUGUUGAGUCAAAUGGGGAUGUUAAGCUACCAGAGAAGGUAACAGUUAAAGCUGGAGAAGGUUCAAAAGUUGCUAAACCAGUUGCAACUCUAGAGAAGAAGGUUAUAAUACCAAAUGGAGUUGCAAAUGGUUGCUAGCUUCAGCCAUUUUUUACGGGCGGUCAGGGUGCUUCGGAGGUGGUUUGUUAAAUUGGUCAGAGAACUUACUGGUCUACCAUUCCAUUUCCAAGUGAGGAAUGCUUGUUUUAAUAUAUAUUUCUGAAGAUUAGGGCCGCCCGGUUUUUGCUGCAUCCAAGAUUAAGCAAACAUGGUAGUGUAGGGCUUCUUCUUGAAAGAUGAUGAUUUUUUGGAGCGGCGGCGGCGGCGCAGGCAGAUACUGUUUUUCUCUGAAAACAUCUCAAUUAGCAAUCCCCGUUUUUUAAUCAUGAUAACCGUCUCCAUAGUUGUUAGCUUUCUAACUGACCAGUUGGGUUGGGUUGGGUUGGGUUUUUUUUAGGGAUUUCGUUCUUUUUUAAUUUUCAUUACAAGCUGUGGGUUUUAUAUUAUUAUGUUAUCAAUUUUUAUUUUUUUUGAAAUCGUCUUGUUGUUUUACAAGGUGUGGGUUACUUUGAUGUUAAUGUGAUACGGUCAUUAUUAUUAUAUUUAUUAUGUAUUGCUGAAGACAAUAACCGCAGUGGGCGGUUAAUAUUUACUAGAAUUGACUAAAUUUUAAAAGCUUUAUUAUUCUCUCUUGCUAUAUAUAUAUAUACACACAUUGCAUAUGCUAUAACUUGUCUGAACAAAGUGCCUUCUUGCCGUCUCACAAUGGAGAAAAAUUCUAAAUGGAGAGGUGUAACACUGUCAGAUGGUUGUUGAUUGGCAGUUAUGUACUCUAGUAGUCAUUUAUAAUAAUAUAUUAGUACACGCUUGUGUGAAAUUAAAAAAAAAAACAAAGAUUUAAAUAAAUUCUUGAGAAAAUGAGAGAGUAGGAAUUAAUUAAUAGUGGGAUGAAAAGGGAAAGAAAUAUAAUGAAAGCGAAAUGUGUGUGUGGUUGGGUCGAUCACUUGGCUAGCUGCAUAUGCACGUCUCUUAUGUAUGAACAAAGGUCCGGUCUUGGAGGGGCCUAGUUUGACCGACCAGCUUGUAAAAUCAGGCUUGCUGGCCUAUCCUAUACUAACGCUGGUUUCGGGCUACUCUUGGGCUUUUCUGUCUUUUCCUCUCUGUUUUUUCUCCAAUUUUUUUUUUAUUGAUUUUAACUCGUAUUUUAAUUCAAAAAAUAUAAAUUAAAAAGUUCAAAUAGUAUUAUUAAUACACUCACAUAAUGACUAUAAUUUUGACUUUAAGUGUGUAUUGUAUUGGAGAUGAAGAAUCACCUAAAUAGCUUAGGGCCGAGGAGAAAUUGAUUUAUUUCGCUGUCAACAAAGUUUUUUCCUCUCCCAAAUUCAACCUUUAAGAAUGCAAGUAUUUCAUAUUUUAUCCUAUAAAUUUAAUAAUAAUCUUAUAUUAUCCCCUAAACUAAAAUUUUAUUUUUUAAAAUUAUUUAUACACGAAAUAUGAAUGACACACACAGACGCCCCCCCAGUAUUCGUAAAAGAGUAAAAAUAUUAACGAGACAAUAUGUUAUUAAUUUAAUCACUCAUUUUACAUCUUUAAAUUUAACAUUUGACGAUGCACCCAAAUCUAAUUUUUAUACCAUCGAACCAUGACUGCGUGGUUUGGUCAUCCAAUUUUAACUUCACCCAUCAAUUCAAUUCAAUAAUAUACUAGUACUACUAUUAUACACCAAGUGCCGACAUAUCGUCUCCCACAUGGACGCACGCGAGCAAGGUGGCAUCACCCGCGCGUAAGAAAAAGAGGGGAGAAAAUUGAAGCAAGUAUUGGGGUGAAUCCGUGGUGCUAUUUGAAUCACCACUUUUUAAUUGGAUCAAAAACCCUCUCUUAAAACCCAAACCCUUUUCUUCUUUCGCUAUUUGUGGCGGCUGUAAAUCUUCCCGUUGUUCCCUCUCUCCCCCAGUGCUUCUUUCUAUCCAUCUAUCAAAUCUUAAACCCUCGAGGGGUUUAUCUGAUUCAAAGAUCUAUCUCAAAGGUUCAUGGCUACCGUUGCUCCUCCCGCAGAUCGUAUCCUUACCCACAAUUUGGGUACUUUUUCUUUUUGGGUUUCUGAUCUUUUUUUCCCCUCGAUUCAAACUGGGGUUCUCUUAUUAUUUUUAAAGCUUUUCUGUGUACAUACCAUCUCGUUUUUGGGUAUACAUAGGGAUUUGUAUAUCAUGAAUCUUUGGAAUUUUUGGUUAAUUAUUAAUUUAAUUGCUGAUUCUGUUGAAUUGAUCUUGGGUAUAGUUUGAUCUUGGCUAUUAGAUAUGUCUCAGAUGUCAGAUAUAUGCUGAUAAAGUAAUUGCAAAACGAAUUGACUAUAGUUCAUAAAGUUACCAUUUUUAAAUGCGUUGUUGCUUUUCAUUAACUAUUCAUCUGUUAAAGUAGUUGUGGAAGGUAGACAAAGUUAAAUUUUAUUGUUUUGUAUUUUGUAGAAUUUUGAAUGUCAUAAUCUUGUAUCUGUCUGAGUUAUGGCUAUUGUUCCUCUAGUGAUUUACCUUAAUUGUCAUGGUUCAGUUAAAAUUUCAUAUUUGCCGGUUGUUCUACUGCUCUUUAAUUCCUAUUAGGAUUAGCCUGGAAACAUUGAAUAUUUUUGGUAAAAUUAUGUAUACCUUUACUUCUUCUGCCGUAGAAGCUGCAGAUUUGUUGCAAAAGUUGUCAAUGGAUUCACAGACCAAAACUUUGGAAAUUCCAGAGCCCACUAAGAAGGUGUUUUGAAAUAAAGUUCUAAAGAGUCCAUCUUUCCUAUGAAUUUAUGUUUGUUAGUACCUGUAUUCACCAACUCUGAACUUGCUUAUGUUGAAUCUCUUUUUCUUGCAGCCUCCUGUUGGUUCAGGUGAUGUAACAAAUGGUCAGAUCCAGUCAUUUGAUCGGUCUCUGACUCCUUUGCUCCCGGAUUUCAUGGAUCCAACCAUGUGUUAUCUUCCUAACGGAUAUGCUUCAUAUUAUUAUGGAGGUUAUGAUGGGACUGGUAAUGGUAAUGAGUGGGAUGACUACUCAAGAUACAUGAACCCAGAUGGAGUUGAGAUUCCUCAUGUAAGAUUAUCUAAUUUUGUCAUCUUGUUCGCAUUUGUUUGAUGUUACAAUGUAUUUUUUGGCCACUUAACCCCAUCAUUUGCAACUUAUCAACCUUAAUCACUGUUCUCUAACCUCUAAACUAAUUGUGUUCAGCUGAUAUUUUGCAAACAAUUCAUUUAAGGGGAAACCAAAAAAUGGCCAUUGAAGUUUGCAUGUUUUAUGGGUUGGCCAACUCAGCUUUCAAAAUUAUUGACCGAGUUAUUAAACUAAUUAAAAUUUUGUUUUUGGAUCAUUCUAUUAUAUUAAUUGGACAUACGUUAAUUUAUUUCCUAUGUGGCAGUUUUAGCAAAAGAAGAAUUGGACAAAAUAAAAGAAGGCAGUCUAAGACAAAAUUAUAUAUUCCUGUCCGAAUCAGAUUUGAUUUUUCUCAUCUUUUAUUUCUAUACGUUCUCUUCAUUUUUCAUCUUUUUGGUAGUGUUCUAAAAAGCGCUCAUUGGAGGGAGUGCCUAGUGCCCAGGCAUCCUAGACGGCGCCUAGGCAUUUGCUUAGGCGGUCUCAUUUAUUUUUCAAAUGUAUAUACUUGUUAUACUAUUCAAAGCUUAUAAAAGAUGUAAGUUUAAAAAAUUUAUGUGAAAAUUACCUAAAAACAAUCUUUCAAGGCUUCACAAAUUCAUUUAAGGUAUUCUAGAAUUUCAAAGCUUCUAUUAAAUUGAUGUGGGGGGUUUGAUUCCGCCUAGGCAGGGGCCUUGGCGUCCUAUCGUCUAGGUAGGGAUUAAGUGGACCUAGUCAGGUAUUCUUAGAACGCUGUUUUUUGGAAAUCUGGGUUUCAUUAAUCUCUCUCCCUUCUCAAAUCCUCUUCUUGUUGGCAUAUGGGUCUCCCUUUCCCUCCUCCUUCCUUCUCUCUGCCUGACAACGCAUUUGCAACAGUAACACGUGUGCGCGCACACACACAUAUAUAGAUAUAUUUAUAUAUCAAAACUUGUGUAUAGAUAUAGAGAUUCAGGUAUAGAUUCUAAUAUUUUAUAUAUAUCAAGAUUUUUAAAACCCACAUAGUAGGUGGAACUCCGCUGUAUUGUAAUUUUUGUUUCUUAAAUUGGUUACGAGAAUGAGAUAUUUGGUGUGGAUGUACAGGAAAAUCAGAUUUCUAUUUCUUCUGCUCUUUUCUUUUCCAAAUCUGGCUGGUUUUAUGAAUCUGGGUAAUUGUUUAGUAUGUUGGUCAAAUAUGUUAUUAUGGAGAUUCAGUCCACGUGUGAGCGGGGUUGGGUUUUACCCCAGCUAGAGGUUGAAUUUGACAAUCAAUUUGAGGGUGGUCAAGUAUUUUACACUUUAAUCUCAUGUGACGGUGUAUAUUUUGAAUUUUUCCCAUGCAGGCAUGUAAGAUAAAUUUGUUUGUCUGAUUAAUUUGAUGGAGUGACCCAAUUGCAAAAUUUUAAUUGGAAUAGACCCAACCGAUAAUUUUUAAAACUGAGUUGGCCGACCCUUUAAACAUGCUAACCUCAAUGGUUUAUUUGUUGGUUUUGCAAAUCAUUUUAUGUUCUUAUAUUUUUUGUUACUUAUUUUCAGGGAGUAUAUGGGGACAGUGGGUCACUUAUGUAUCACCAUGGUUACGGUUAUGCACCCUAUGGCCCAUAUUCACCUGUGGGUUCACCUGUUCCUACAGUUGGACAUGAAGGCCAGCUCUAUGGAGCUCAGCAGUACCAGUAUCCUACUCCAUAUUUCCAAACAUUGACUCCAACAAGUGGACCUUUCCCUAGCCCAACUGCCCCUCCAAAAGGUGAGAUUUCGAGCAUUGGGGCUGCUGAUCAAGUGCCUUUGUCUGUCGAAGCUCCUAAGGGAAAUUCUAAUGGCAUUGGAAACGGGGGUGGCCUAAAGGGAAAUAAUGGUUCAGCACCACUGAAAACAACAUAUCAGAACUCAUCUUAUGUGAAUGGAUCCUAUGGAAGGGGUGCCCUGCCUGGAGGAAUUGCUGCUUCUGGUUAUCAAGACCCUAGAUUCGGUUAUGAUGGUUUACGAUCUCCUAUUCCUUGGAUAGAUGGCCCUUUAUAUUCUG